rnacentral:rRNA from 1 species
CCUACGGGAGGCAGCAGUGAGGAAUAUUGGUCAAUGGACGGAAGCCUGAACCAGCCAUGCCGCGUGCAGGAAGACGGCUCUAUGAGUUGUAAACUGCUUUUGUACAAGGGUAAACCUGAAUACGUGUAUUCAGCUGAAAGUACUGUACGAAUAAGGAUCGGCUAACUCCGUUCCAGCAGCCGCGGUAAUACGGAGGAUCCAAGCGUUAUCCGGAUUUAUUGGGUUUAAAGGGUGCGUAGGCGGAUUGAUAAGUCAGAGGUGAAAUGUCCGAGCUUAACUCGGGAACUGCCUCUGAUACUGUUGAUCUAGAGAGUUGGUGAGGUAGGCGGAAUGCAUGGUGUAGCGGUGAAAUGCUUAGAGAUCAUACAGAACACCGAUGGCGAAGGCAGCUUACCAAUCAAUAUCUGACGUUGAGGCACGAAAGCGUGGGGAGCAAACAGGAUUAGAUACCCGUGUAGUC